CCAUGAAUGAACUCAUUAAAGUGAUGCUAGGCUCUGCGUGUAAAACUAUUUUCUGUGCUUUCUUUUCACCCUACCCAUUCGUGUGUUCCAUCAGCUCUCUUGCAGCCAAACACUACAAGCCUUUUUCUUCUAUCACCCUCAUAAUUCCCCUAACUUUGUAUCUCAAUCAGAGAUAUUUAACCUAUUGUAGCCAUACCCUAUAUAGCUUAGAAAUAUACCAAGGUGUGCGAAGAUAAAGUUUGAAGCAAGGAGGUUGCUGCCACAUGCCCAAAUGUAAAUUGGUGUGAAUCUAUGCAAUAAAGUUAAAGAAGAAGUAGAUCAAGUCAAAAAAAAAAAAAAAAAGAUAAAGAGAAAGUGUUUCGAUUUGAUCUAAAUGUGAAAUAUAAAGUCUAUGCCAGAUGAUGCUAUGAAGUUGCAGCCAUACCAUUCUAAAUCAAUGAUACCUUGCAGAUCAAUGAAGAAUGCAACCUUGGUAUGUUCUUAAGUUAGUUGUGUUCCUUCCAAUUCUUCCACUUCCCUUAACCUUAGCCUUUCAUUACAACCUUGUGAAAGACCUAGCUGUUCUUUGAGGAUGUAUUCAUGGGUGCUGGUAUGUAUGUGUGUAUCUCUACUCUUAGUAUUUGAUUCCCUUCAUGAGAUCUAACCAAAUAUUGUGCUUCUAUUUCAUAUACUCACUUAUGCUUGUUUGAGAGAAUAAAACCAUAGGUUCUGAGUGAUUGAGUGCUAGAUGUGAGAAUUAGAGUUGAAGCAUGUUCUUCCUUCAAGAUUUGAGUAUGUUUACUUUGAAGCCGUGUGCCUUUGAGCUAUAGCUUCCACUUUACACACUUAUUGAUCAUCUAUCUUGGUAACUCUAUGGUGUUGGAUGCAUGAUUAAAGUUUUCUUUCAUUAGUUGUUUUCAAAGUUAGUUUUCUAACCUUUUGGUGUUAGAGAGUCAGUAAAGCGUUUGUGGGUAUCGUUUCUGUUAAACCCUCAGGAGACACAACUCUUCCGAUUAGGGAUGCCCAGAGGUUUAAAGGCUUGUUGCAUAUGCACAUUGCAAUCGAGUUACCUAAAGAAGUGGUUUAGUUAACUUCUUGUUUUGUUUUCAACUUUAUUCUCUUUUGUUUUGCUCGAGGACUAGCAAAAUCUAGGUCUGGGGGUAUUUGAUCAGUUCACAAUUGUAUAUCAUUUUGUACCCUUCUAGCUUAUGAUUUGGUUAUGUUAUUGAGUCAAACGUGUGCUUUUAACCCCUUUUCUGUUUAUCAUUCAGUUCAUUGGGCCUUAGGUAGCAAUGGUGUCUUUGGAUAAGAAAAGAUGCAAAAUGGUGCAAAAACGAGCAGACUGGGUUAGCAACUCAUUUCGGCCUUAACAUCUUUCUCCGAACUUGGAUUGGCCCAAAUAAUAUGUAGUUGGAAAGAUGAGAGUCUGAACUUCAAGAUGGACUACUCAAAUGCAUCAGAUUAUGAAGUUGAGCCCAAUUCGUGAGCCCAUAUACACACCAGGCUCAGGAUUGCAGUUUCCAGUUGUUGAGCCUUGGAUACUUUCUUUGAGCCAUGUGACUCACCACAGCUUUCCUUGACUUUAGACCUGACAUGUUGAGCAAUUAAGGGAGGUGUGUCAGCUACUCAAGUGCAAAGGAGCCUUGACUUUAGACCAGACAUGUUGAGCAAUUUAGGGAGCAAUUUAGGGAGGUGUGUCAGCUACUCAAAGGCAAAGGAUUCACUCAAUUGACCAAUAAUUCACUCAAGCCAUCCUAUAUCACUCCAUUCAGCCCAAAAUUAGAGGGUGGAACAACUCCAACAAGCCUUCCUUCCAUUUCCUACGAAUUUGUUCUUUCUCUGCCAUCACCAACCACCCAAACUCAUCCCAAAUCACCUCUUUAGUUGCCAUACUCUAGACAUGAGAAAGUUCUUGGAGUAGCAUUAGAUGUGGAGAAGCACCGGGAGGAGCCUUGGAAACCACAAGCAACUUCAGAAUUGGGUUUCUCUACUCUUAUUGCAUUCAAUAUGUUUUCUCAUUUUUGCUUAAGUUUCAUUUCCAUUAUGAGUAGCUAAAUUCAUAACUAGGGCUAUGAUGUAACCUAACAUGAAUAUUCUGGGUUUAUAAGUUGAAGUUUUGAGUUUCAAGUUUGAUUCAUGAUUCA